AGACCCAGAAAUCAUUUAUACCAAGCUGUAGCUAUCAUUUUUACUUCCCUUGGAAGGAAAACUCCUUGGAAUUAUUUCAUAUAUAAACUCUCAAAAAUAUUUUAAAGUAAGCUUCAUUAAUCACGGCUUGGCUGUUUCCUAGGCCUUGUCCCAAAGGUCUGGUAAGCUUUAAAUCCCUAGUGACACCUGCUGGGCAGACCUUGCUCACGGCUGCAGGCUUUCCAUCAGCCUACCUCUUCUUUAACAUGCAAAGCUGCAGGCCGCGAGGUAAGGGGCUGGCCGCCGCCUCCUCAGCUCGCAGCCAGUCUGCUCAUUCCUCAUGCAGGUGACCUCUGCCAGAACAACGCUGCGCUAGAUUCUCCCCAGCGCUCUCUCGGGAAUUGAUUUCCAACCUGUCCACCCCCCAGGAAACAAACAGGGAUCUUUCAAAGUUGGAGAGCAAGAAGGAGAGAUAGAGAGGAGAGAUCCAACAGGAUCCGCCCCCACUCCCAGCCCCAAGUUACUAUAAGCUGCUUCUUUGUCUGAAAACUCGGAGGUGAAAGAUGCUACUUGAGCCGUAUGUUUUGUUCAGCACAAACCAAAUUAUGCUAUACUUGCUUAUAUCUGAACAUAUUGGUUUAUCUUACAUAGAGUUUAAUUGAUGCAAACUUGAACUUCAGUAUGUUAAAUUCUCAGAGAAAACACCAUCCCUGUGAUUUAGAUUGCUGUGUUUUUCUUUGAACAAAGCAAAGAGGAGCAAAGCAAUUACACCUCAGCUUCUGUUUAUUUCUUCCACAUUCACCAACCAUUACAAAAAUAGCGUUCAACCUCUUGUAGUGUUACUUCUUGUGUCCUUUACUGUCCAAUUGCAAAAUUUCUUUCUGAGCCGACAUCUGCAUCCUUGGACAGAUCAACUAGUGUGUAAAGUCCGUGUUAGCCGAUCAAGCAUGGCUUUGUUUGCGCUUAUUCACUGCGCAUCCAGCACUGCGUAAGUGGUUUUGCAUAUUAACUAAGUGCACAGUAACCUUCCUUUACCUCCUCAGAGCUCCACCCCCUCCCACCCAGCCUCCUCGGGAAAUCAACACUGUUACUCGCUGAGGAAGCUGCCAAGAGGUUGCCAUGGCAACUGUUCUGCUUUCAGCAGCUACUUUUCUGAUUUGAAGAGGGGUGGGGGGUUGGGGGGGAGAAAAAAAAAACCUGAGGAGAACUAGGUGGCUUUCUGAUCAGAGUUCAGAUAAAGAGGGUCACAGUAAUUUGCGGGCACUGCCUAAAAUAACCCAAUGGAUUCGAGAGUUGCAGCCAAAGAAGCAAACAAACAAAAAAGAGCCAAACAAAGAUGAUGAGCUUUAUGAGAUUAUAAACGGCAAGGGGGUAAAACAGCACCAGAAUGGGAAUCUAACAUCUGAAAGUCAUUUUCCAAAACUUCAUUCAGCACGGGAACAAUGCCGCAUUCAGGCGUAAUGAGCUGAGAAGGCGUGGUGCGCCAGGUCAAACUGGCGGUCUCUGAGCUCCUCUCAACGGAGUGCUUUGCCAAGAUGACAAGAGGGAAUGAAACAGAAGUUUGAAGAUGCAAAAUAAAAUAAGGCCAAAGACCUAAAGCAUUUUGUUUGAGCAAAGUUGUGCAAAGAACUAGAAGCCAGUCUAGAAGGGGAGUAGAUGAUAUGGACUGCACCCUACAUCGGAGCUCUCCGAAGUUAAAGCGAGGUAGGUAGAGUUCAAAAUGGUGUGGGUUCUCCUGUGUAUCAUCGAUGUAGCUGGAGGCCCUCUGUUAUAUAAAAGAAACAGGAUGGAGAAUGACAGUUCCUCUCAGACUACAGUAAAUGUGAUUAAAUUAUCUCAUCAGCUUCAUACUCCUGAGUAUUUCUGCAAUGCCAGGAAACCAUGCGUGAAUCUGACCUGUCUGCCGGCCCCUCAGACAGCACAGGCUAGAGGUAUUAGUAUUCAAAAAAAUCCCUCCCUCAAAUGGCCGGGUGGACGGCUACCAAGUUUUGUCUGUGUAGCAACUGAGUCCAGGAAUGAGACGCGGAGAAAUAAUAAGGGGGGAAGGAAUGAAAGCAAAGAGGAAAUUCAGAAAUUUGUUUUAACUCUGCCACAGCUUCUAUUUCAUCUCUUUUCACUGACCUGAUCUAAUUCAAGCAGCUAUUAUCCCUGUGAAACACUGCCACAGCUGAAUGUAUUUUUAUUUUCCCUGCUCAAAGGCGAUGUAAAGGGAAUUUGAGAGCACAUCACCUUCAGGGAAAAGACUGCAGCGUAUUACUCACUGCCUCCCUCCUCCCCUUUGCGUGAAAAGGUUAAUUUGAAUAAGGCUGCUGCUGCCACAAAUAGAACAGUAACCAGCGCACAGAGGAACCGCCAAUGAGAAUGUUUUUCAAUGAUGUCAUACUUAUACCUGCUCCUUAUUAUUUGCUGAGUCGUGACAAUGUGUUCCUUGAAUCUCACAUUUUAUUGGUGGAGAGCCCUGUCAUUUUGAGUGCUUCUGGAGACUUUUAGACCCUGCAGUUUCUUUCCAAGCCCAGGAUUUUUUCAGCUUUUGUACUUCUACUGUUGGAGAAUACAGAAUAUUUUAAACUGUCGUCCUGAGAGCAAAUGAAAACCUUUUAUAAUUUAUGCCUGAUUUCCACGGCCCCUGAUACUAGACCCAUUUGCAGUGCAAAAGCAGCACAAAAAAGACUGAUUUUUGUUAAAAAAAAUAAAAAACAACCUUUGAACCAAACUUUUAUCAAAGUGUUCAUAGAAAGAUCAUGCUUAGCUUAAUAUUAUCACCACUGGCAGAAUGGAAAACAAAAUGAUUCCAUUUAUUCUACAACAACUUGUUGCCCCAUGGGGCAGAGCUUUCUUGAAAAGACCUGGUUCUAAAUUUCCCGGAUUGUAGCAUGGAUGGCAUUGGAGGAAUGGAAACGUUCCUGGGUUAUUUUUGUCCUAAGUAGAUUUUAUUUUUUAAAUCAGUUAGGUUUUUGUGUCAUUAAAAUGUGUGCCUCAGGUCACUCAGAUUCCAGGCCUUUUCCAAGGAAACUCCUGGAAACAGGUUUGAAAACCACACUACCCUAUAGUGAAGGCCAGAGUUAGAGAAAUCAGUUGUUCAUGAGUUAGGAAUUAUUCAAUGAACUGAAGGAUUCAAAGAAAUAUUCUGGUCAUCAGGAGAUACAGAUGUGGUUGGGAGAAAGAAAUGUUGGUGCUCCAAAAGGUCUCAGAAGCUAUGGUGGUGAGUGGGCAAAGUCAGGUCCUCAGAGACUUAGAAGAGCAAGUCAAGCCGUCCAUGGUGAGUUGGUGAAACAGAAUGUAUAUAUUGGAGGUUAAUCUAUUACGCAGGCAGCCAGUAUAUUAAAUGCUCCAGUGAGAAGCGCAGGGCAUGAAAGGAACAGGCGCAUUGUAAUGGGCAGAGAGGGACUGGAAAGGGUUCUUGUGUGGGACGUGAGAUGAGAAAGGAUGAGUAUGUAUGGAACAGACCUCCUUGAGUGGAUUUAUGUAUUGUGAGAUAAAUUUAGAAAAGCAGGUGCACAGAUUAGCAAAGACAAUGUAAUUAGAAGGAGAAAGUACCAGAUAUUUUGAACAUACGUAUCUCAAAUUCAGUAACUAAUAUCAAAUAUUUUAAAAUGGAAAUGUCUUUGCAGCUGUGUAUCAUGGUGUAUUGUUUUACCGAGUCUGAUGAGGGGUUAACUAGAUGUUAUAAAAAUUUGAUUAUUUUGUACCUUAAAUAAAUGCUUGUACAAAAUUAACGUGGACUUUGAACUUUCAAUGAGAAUCUUACUGUGUUAAGAACAUGAAAAAUGUGACCAAAAAUAAAGUAUAAUUGUGGUAAAGACUAGAGAAUAUAAUUCUACCCUUCUAUUAUAGUUAGAAGGACCUACAGCCGUAUUUACCGUACUUGAACUUCACAGAACUUCCACCAAUAAACUGCAUGGACAUUUUGAUUCCAGACAUCUGUCUAUAAUGAUAGCAUCGUGGAAAGUAUAGUGGCCUCUAGUGUCAGACUGACCUGGGUUCAAAUCGCAGCUCCAAAACUUAGUAGCUGUGUGACCUUGGUCAUAUUAAUUAAUGUCUCUAAGCCUCAGUUUUGUUGAGGGAUAAUGAUGACACCUGUAUAUAGGAUUAUUGUGAGGAUUAAACUGGGUAAUGUAUACAUUUUUAUUAGUGUUGUGCCUGUUGCAGUAAAUGAAAGAUUUUUGUUUGUUUGUUUAUUAUUUUAACCUUAUUACCUUUAAGGUCCUUCAAGUGCCUACAUGAUCUGGUACCUGGCUGACCAUUUCCUUUCACUCUCUGCCGCUCUGUUCCAGCCAUGUUGGCCUUCUUGCCACUUUCCAAACAUGCCUGAUGUGCUUUGCCUUUGCUGAUCUCCUUUCCUAGAGCUCUUCUCCUCCCAAGUUUAACCUCUGUACUUUAUUCAAGUCUCAGCUCUUAUAUCACCUCCCCUGAGAAAUCUGACUUAACCUGUCUACACCAGCAUCCCUAUUGCUCUCUUUCCCAUUACACCAUACCAUGCUCUUUCAUGGUCACUUACAACUACCAGACAUUACUUUACGGUUGCAGUUUUUAUUUGUUCAUUAUCUGUUUUGCUCAGUUGAAUGUUAGGUCCAUUUGAAUAGCGGUGUUGUUCACCUCUGUGCCCUAGAGCCUAGAACAGUGCCAGAACAUAGUAGGUUCUCAAAGAUCUUUGUUAACAAACAAAGAUGAAGACAGCAAUGGGAACCCCAAGUUCUUCAGGACAGUGCCAUCACAGGGAUGGAGUGCAUUGACAAGAGAGGGGUUCUGAAGAUCCUCGCCCCUUACCAAAGUUCAAGAUGUAUGCAAGCUUUUCUUAUUGAGCCAAGAGGAACCAUUUUAAUUUGCCCAUCACAUCUAAAGGAUUAAAUUAUAAGACAAUGAGAAUAUAUAGUUCUAGUAUUCUUUACACAAAGCAUGCCAAUGCUUAUCAGGGUAGAUGAGAUGGGGGGAAGCUGGUACAAAUUACCGGGCCAAUGGUCCAGAAGAGAUUCCAGAGCAAAUCCUGGGUGAAGAUUUUGGGCUGGUGUACUCUUUCUGAGGUCUACCAUGUUUUCCCCCACCAGGCUUUCCCAAACCUACUCGUGUUGGCCCCGAUUUUCAUGAUUUUUUUGGUACCAUCUAGGGAAUUUGGAUCAGUAACAAUUAGAGAGCAAAAUAGUAAAUUCAGGACAGUAUUCAAGACAUUCUCAACAUUGCACACACUUACACAUUAAUACACAUAUGUAUUGAAUGAACCAAUUGCAAAUUCAGAAAAUAUUUUAAGAUCUUUCUACUCUGUCUCCCAGUCAGUCAAUCAUGAUGAUAAAACACACCCUCUUUCAGAUUUCUAUUUUCCCGGUAGCUGAAGGACAAUAUCAGAUAGCAUAGAGCUUAUGUAAGCAUUAUCCGUGCUGACAUUCCAAAUGAGCAGACCUAAUGCCACCUAAUCAUUUGGUUACAGCUUGGACUUGGCAGUCUUUUAUAAAGUACUGAAUUUGAAGGAGCAUCUGCCUUUUACAUCUUGGCUAUGUCAGCACCUGUGGCUGCUGCUGCUUCUUGAAACUUCUUAACAUAAUAAAAGUAAUAUGAAAUAAAAUCGUUGGUAACCAGAAUGCUUUUGAAAGAUUAUAGAUUCGUGGGCAAAAUUCAGAAUGUAGAGCCUAUUUUUAAAGAAAAUUGCCUCUCUUCUCUGACACCUUCCUCCUCUGGUUCCCUCAGUUUUAGUUCUCUUAGGUUAGGGCUUCUUUCACCUGGAGAUCUUGUUAAAAUGCAGAUUGUUUCAGAAUGUCCGGAGUGGGGCAUGAAAUUCAGCAUUUCCAACAAAAUGUCUAGGUGAAGCAAUGUGCUGGUCUUGGAGUAGCACGAUUUAGAUAGCAUAAUACCACAUGUCUGCUUCUGCUCUUCCAAAUUAACAUAACAUUUUAAAACGAAGCAGUUCAGUGUUCUCCUCCACCCGCAUUUUAUCCUAUCUGGGUUUAGAGAUUUUACUCUGAGGUGUAUUCACAUCCAAUUGGUACUCAAGCCUUUUUGAGUCUCUCUAAAGAAUGUUUCUCUGCCGUCCAUCUGCACAGGUACUGGCUCGCUGAGACCAUCCUCAUCUUUCUCCUGCAAAGCUACAAUAAACUGUAACUUCUCUCUCAAUCCCCAGCCUUCUCUCCUUCCAACCCAUCAUCUAUAUUCGGUCACCCUACUUUCCUUACAAAAAAGUUGUUUUUGAUGAGGUCACUUCCUUGAUUAAAGACCCCUGCUGGUUCCCCUUGCUUAAAAUAGAGGUUGAUGUGGGCUCUGUCAUCUGACAAACCUGGGCUGGAAUCCAAGUUCUUUCAGUGUCUUUUUAUGUAACUUUGGACAGCUUCCUUAAUUUCUGAGAGCCACACUUUCCUCAUCUGCACGACGGAGAUAAGGCUAUUUAUCUCAUGGUGUCAUCACAAGAUUUAGAUGCAAACUUGAGGUAAAGCAUCUGGCAUGAUGCCAGCCAUAGUAAAUGUUCAAUAACUUAACUACUUCCCCCCCAUUUUUCUGUCCAGUCUGACCAAUUUGGCUUUUUCAACCCCUUAAAUGGACACUCUUGAACCUCUUCUUGUCCUCCCUCCACAUCACACAUACGCAUUCCCUAGCGUCACUGAACAUUUCCUUUUCUGAUGCAUCUGCUGAAAGACUCUUCCCAUUCUCCUCCAUCUGGCAAAUCCCCUUGGCUCUUCAGGCCGCAGAUCCUUUGCUUGCAUCCCUAAGAAGCCUGAGCCUGCAUCUUCGGGCAGAAUUUGCCAUUCCCCUCUUGUCUUCCCACACGACUGUGCUCACACUUCUCCCAUAAUGCACUUGCUGUGAUGUGCUGUUAUGAUUGAUGCCAUGGCUGUUGCCCUGACUCAAUUGUAACCUCUCAGUGGCCAGGACUCUCUCUUAUUUCCCAAUCUUUAGUGACUUGAGCAGUUGCUGAAUAAAGGAAUGGAAUCAAUGUGGCGUGUGGUUUAAAGAAAUGAGUGCUUAAAUAUUAUAUUGUAGAAACUAGAGAAAAUAAUUAUGAAAUAAUAAUAAUAUCUUAAAGUAAUAACCCCCAUUUUCUAGCUUAUUUGACUGCUUUCCAGGCCCUGUUUAAAAUGCUUUAUACACACUAUCUCACCAGAUUCCCUUGACUGUCUUUUAUUGUAGGUGCUAUAAUACCAUUUCACAGAUAAAGAAACUCACAUUCAGAAAAGUUGCAGUUUAUAAUUGUUAGAUUAGGGAUUUGAAGACUUGUCUGACUCCAGAGUUUCUCUUCUGUACAGCACUGUCUCAUGCAAUCUGCUGCCCUAGCCUGGUUUCAGCUUCUUAGAUGUAGAUGAAGAUCAUGGACAGAGAUCUUUACUAGAGAAGAAUCUGUGAAGCAGAUAAAGGCAUCUCUGCCGAGUCAUAGACUUAAGUGGUCUGGAGAUAGCGGUUAUUAGGUAGAUAAAACAUAACUCAGAACUCUAAAAUUCCAAUGUCUGGACACCUCGUAAAUCCUUUCCUUUUCGCUUAUUAUUUGUUUUGAAAAAGCCAUUAAACAGUCUUGUUCCUGAGGGAGGACUAUUUUAAUGAUGCCUUUUUGACUUUGGAAGAUACUUUUCAUUUUCCCCACACCGUAGUUUCAUAGGCAGGCCUCACACAGAUCAUUUCUUUAACUAAAUUUUGUAGGAGAGCUCAUUCCUGUGGGCUCAAAGAAACCAAGCUAACACUAAGGCAAAUCGUGAAAACUGCUGUGUGUUCUCUGCUCCUGGGAACUGCUCUUUGUAACAGAUCCUCCAGGUAUUUUCAGUAGGGGAAAUCUUGUCUACAAGAGCCUGAUUAUAGGAAAUAAUCAUAUAGCUAAUUGCAUCUGCAAUUAACGACAAAUCUGUAGCUUGAUGGGCAAUUGUGAUCCCAGAUAUUUGAAGCCUCUCAGCAAAGCAACUAUAAACUGUUAGAAAAGUUCUCAGUGGCAACCCUAGGAACAAACGGUGGAAGUUUAUUUAUUUAUUUAAUGGUCUUAUUGACCCCUUGGAAACUUCUCAACCUAGACAUACCUGGCAUUCUGUUAAAUCCGUAGGAUUUCUGAAUCUGUUGAACGUAUCUAGAUGUAGAAUAAGCCAGAAUAUUUGGAAAUAGGAAGUGGAUACUUAGAAAUACUUUAAUACCUGGACCUUAUUUCUCUAAGAGUGUUCCCUGGAACAUUAGUUCCACAGGCUGUUAAGAGAUGUCAGGUGAGAAAAUAAAGUGUUCCAAGGUCAAAUUCACAGAGAAACACUGAGUUUAAAGAAAGCCACUGGUUUCUUUGCUCCUGGACGUCUCAGAAUCUUUACUCUGUCAGUGUGUGUUAUGAGUCUCCUGGGAUAGAACAGUGGUUGUCUUUUUGAUUUGUUUUGUUCAGGGAGCAUCUCAAAACACUGAUCUGCAGAGUAGGCACUGUGGAGCUGUGGGCACAAGUUUUCUGCCCCCUGGGCUUUCAACGUAUUUUGUCUGGCUAUGGCUAACGUCCUACUCACUGGUGGGCACCAUUGUAGCAACUCUGCAGAGUUGAUAUCUAGAGAGUAAUAAAAUAGAAGUCCUACAUACAAACACAAAGAAGCAAAGAUAAAUAAAACUUUGGUAUGACCCAUGACAUGGAGGGAUUUCUGUAAUUAUAAAGAUUGAAAAUUUAAGAAUCAAACGAAUCCCAAAUAGUACCAUAAACACAAUUUAAAUUGAGUGAAUUCAUUUGGAUAAGCUUGAAACUUUAUAUUUUCUCCAGAUUAUUGCUAAGAACACUGCUAAUUUUCAAAAAAUGUUAAAAUAUCACACGCAAUAAUAAUGCAUUGACAAAAAUAAGAAAAUUUAAAUUUACGUAAUCAAGCAUAUGGAUAAUUCAGAAGUCUGGUUAUCAAGGUCUCCAAGUCACUUUCUAUUUCUGUUCCAAAUCUUACCAUCAGGAAAUCAUGGCCUAUAAGUACCUGUACAGUGUGGUCAUGAGGAAUAAAGUUAGGCAUAUUCUACUAUUGCAGUAGCAGAGUCAAUGGGCAAGAGUCUAAACCCAAAGUUAGUGUGAAGUCCUGGUUUCAUUUUAUUAUUGAUAAACAUGUGCUCUCUCAUUAGAGAUACUUGAGUGGUGGCUGGCAAAGUAGUUUUGCAUUUUAUGCCUGAAAACAUUAGGAGUAAUAAGGUGUGUGACCAAGAGAUGGUCAAGUGUUGAUAACCAUAUGGGGUCUGGAGGUAGACAUAGAUGUAGAUUGCAAAUUGGUGGAGUGUCAUCUGUUCUUUCCCCGUUUGGUAGGAGAAAUUUAUUUUCAUUAAAGACCCCCUUCUGGAAAUUAAAAACUCAGUUCCUCAGUUGC